GUGGCCAGGGCUGGAUUCCCAGGUGGAUUCCCAGGUGGAUUUCCAGGUGGUCAGGGUGGAUUUCCAGGUGGAUUCCCAGGUGGAUUUCCAGGUGGUCAGGGAUGGAUUUCCAGGUGGAUUCCCAGGUGGCCAGGGGUGGAUUCCCAGGUGGAUUCCCAGGUGGCCAGGGGUGGAUUUCCAGGUGGAUUCCCAGGUGGAUUCCCAGGUGGCCAGGGGUGGAUUUCCAGGUGGAUUCCCAGGUGGAUUUCCAGGUGUGCAUUCCCAGGUGGCCACAAAGCCCCCCUGGUGGU